UACGUAGAAGGCAAGCGUUAUUCGGAUUUACUGGGCGUAAAGAGGGUGUAGGCGGCCUUUCAAGUCGGAUGUGAAAUUUCUCGGCUUAACCGAGAGGGGUCAUCCGAUACUGCUAGGCUAGAGUGCAGCAAGAGGAGGUGGAAUUCCCGGUGUAGUGGUGAUAUGCGUAGAUAUCGGGAGGAACACCAGUGGCGAAGGCGGCCUCCUGGGCUGUUUCUGACGCUUAAACCCGAAAGUGUGGGGAGCGAACAGGAUUAGAUACCCCCCGUA
rnacentral:rRNA from 1 species